CAUGAAUUUAAAUCAAAAUAUUUUUACCCAUUUGCAGAUUAAACAUGGAGAGGCUGGUGGAAUAAUUGGUCCGUCGGGACCGGUAAAUCAACUAUAUCCAGACAAGGGUGAGGUUUUUGUUCGAGGUAGAAAGCGCCAUGGUUUGAUCAGUGAAGAGGAAAUAUCUGGACUUCGAAUUGGCUUGGUGUUUCAGAAUGCAGCACUUUUUGAUUCUUUAACUGUUCGUGAAAACGUUGGUUUCUUAUUGUAAGAUACUAUGCAGAAAUUGUUGCUGCAUUUUUUUCCUUUAUUCUUAUUGACACAAGAAUUUCUGGCUUCCUUUGCUUCUUGAUAUGACCAACACGAAAAUUCGGCUAUGGCUGAGGAACAAAUUGCAGAGCUUGUGACUGAAACUCUAGCUGCUGUUGGUUUGAAGGUGUAAAAAUGCUUAUUAUUUGCCUGGAUAAAAUUUUGUUGAACGCUCUAAAAUGUUGAGAUGAUGAGAAAGUAUUACUAACAAAAAAUGAUGGAACAUUUGGGAGCACAAGAAUUUUAUUUUUUAAAAUAUGCGCUCAGAUACAAAUUGGAACUAUAAUGCAAUAUCCCGAAUUUUAUUACUAGUCGUUAAAUUAAAAAUUAAGAUGUAAGUGUGCUAUUAUUAAAGUCUAAUUAGCCUAGUUAAAUGACCUUAAUAAUUACUAACCAAAGUUUGAGGACCUAAGUGAAGAGAUAAUUUGGAGGUUAAAUGAAAUUAUAUGAAUAUGUCAAUUAGCCAUGAUUAUAGAUGAUUUAUUUGUCCACAUGCAUUAUUCACCACAUUUUAAGCAAAGUAAUUGCUUUGACUACAUAAAUAAAGGUAAUUGAUUUGACCACAUGCAUCAUUUACACCAAAAUUCAAGUUAAGUCAAUUGAUUUAAUCACAUGAUUAAAGGUAUUGAUUUGAUAACUUUCAAAACAAUGCACUAAUUAUGCUUUGACAAUGUCUAAUAUUUAGCCAUUUUCUUUCAACUUUCUACACAUGGUCCAAGAACUCACACUAUAAAUAGGAGUUAAACUCAACAUCGAAUUAUCCCUCACUAACUAUUUACACUCUUACUCUCUGUCUUUAUCACUUUGUCUCUACACCUUUACUCUUUCUCUUAUAUUUUUCAUAUUAAAUAAAGUCAUACACUUACAAAAUCACACAACCCGACACGCGGCUCAAGGAACUCCCUCCAACAAUCACUUUUAUCAUUUUUGAAUUGUUAAGUGAAAGGUAAGCAUAGUAGUACGAAUUGCUCUUUCAUCAUUUAAUUUACGAAAAUUUAUGUUAUGAAUAUGAUGAUACGGAAAAUCCAAAUUAUGAUUAUGAUAAGAGUCCUAUAUGUGUAAGUUCAAAGGAUCGGAGUUUAGUAGCGCUACAGGAGUUAUAGCCACGAAGUUUGGAUUUUAGUUCUCGUGUUUCUAUAUGUAUGUUAUGAUUUUUCGUAAUUAAAUAUGAGAUGCAAAUUCGUUAUUACUCAUUUAUUAAGAUUUAUGUCUCACGUGUAUAUGUUAAAUAUUUUAUAGGUAACUAAAAGAGGCGGGUUCGACGCUAUUGGAGGUUGAUUGUGCUUGCGUGGUUGAAAAUGAAGAAUAAUUUAAGUCGUUAAAGAUUUUAAUUUUGUUUAUUGUAUUUUUAUUUUUUUUUAAUCCCUUCAUGUUUAGAAAAUAUUACGUUUUUUUAAUUAUUUAUGAAAGUAUUAGCGGUACAUGUAUAAAGGUAAAAAUUUGGGUCGAAUUAAUUUGGCUGAUUUCCUAGAAAAUUGAUUAGUUGUCAAGUCGAUGCCACAGAGUUAAGAAUUAAUUGAUUAAUUUUAUAGAACUUCUAGAGAUUAAUUCUUCAAAUUAUCAUAGUCAGUCCAGAUAUUGAGCCCAACGGUUGGGCAACCAAAUAUGCAACUAGUAAUUUUAUUGAGGAGUCGCCAGAUAGAUAAUUUACUGUGUCAAUCACAUAAAUAGUGAAUGAAGACACGUAGGUAUUGAAAAUCUCCCUUGAUAUUUAUGAUUUAGCAGUUCUUGAGUGGUCAGUGGGCAAAUGCUAACUGUUAGUUUGAUAGGUAUAGUUGUAGCACGAAGAGAAAAUGCAAGACUCGAUCUUCACUAAAUCAGUAACAUGUAGGUAUUGAAAAUCUCCCUUUGAUUUUAUGCCCUGCUUCUAGUAUAUGAUGAGAUAAUAUUAGUUUAAGCAGUUAAAACAUUGUGGAAAGAUCUAUUUGAAUAUGGUAUAGUGUGGUGUGGUUGAAACAAUUUUUUUGCUGUUAGUGACUAUUUAUAGGCUUUGUGGAAUGAAAUGAUUUGAAGGUGCUAUUAAGUUUUGAAAUUGGUUGGAUAAAUCACCAAAAUCUAAGAUAAGCUCAAUGUGCUAACGUAGUAAAAUUUGAGAGAAGGUCAAAAGUAAAAAUAGAAAAUUCAGUGAAGUCAAUGAAAGGUUUCAUUCAUUCAUUGCUUGUGUACUUGUUUAUUUCUCUUCGUGUCUUUGUCGCCAUAAUAAAUCAAAUCAAUAUUUUUUUUGUAGGAUGUUGAAGAACAAUUGCCUUCUGAGUUUCCAGGGGAAUGAAAAAAACAGUUGCUUUAGCUCGUUCUAUAAUAUUUGAUACCACAAAAGAUGCAAUAGAGCCUGAGUGUAUGUUGGUGUUUCUUGUUUUUCCUGCAGUUUUCUGUGGCAACCCCUAGUCAAGCCACCCUCUUUCACCCCGCGAUAAUUGAGGAAAAGGGAUACGGAUUAGAUCAAACAAAGGGGGAAAUAGGGGUGCUCCUCUAUGAUGAGCCAACAGCGGGUCUUGAUCCUAUUGCGUCUACCAUAGUUGAAGAUCUCAUCCGUUCUGUUCAUAUGAAAGGUGAGGAUGCAUUUGGGAAACCUUGAAGAUUGCAUCUUAAGUUGUUUUCACUCAUCAACAUGGUACCAUCAGAAGAGCUGUAGACAGGAAAGGUUGUUUGGCAAGGAACGACCCAUGAAUUUUCCUCAUCCGCGAAUCCAAUUGUUCAGCAGUUUGCAUCUGGAAGUUUGAACAGGCCCAUCAGAUAUUAGCUCAGACAAGUUUGGUGAAGUUGUGAAAUUCAUGGUUGAGAUUCAUGGAUGAACUUAUUGUGAUUCUUGGAGGCAGAAGAGUUGUCAUUUCAAGUUAAUUAUCGUACAUUUCAAACGGCGAAAUUUCCAUGUGUAUUUCGACUAGUCUCAGAGUGGAGCAGUAGGGUUUCAAGGACAGUGGAGCCUUCCCCCAACAAAUAUCAGAUCUGGCUAAACCGUAUGAUCACUGUAAUAUGGUCUCUAUUGUACAGCAUU